UGCGAGAGCGAGAGAAGCCGGUCCGACCCAGGUCAAGGACGCCCGACGAGCGUGAUGCUGAGGUCAAGCGACGGAAGGAGACUAUCAAACGCGAGCAGCACCACGAGUCGGACCCGGAGAAGAGCGACCAGGACCUGGUUGUGGACGUGGCGGGCACCGAGGACACGUCACCGCGCCACAACGGCGAGCCGCGGCCAGCCGACCUGCGCAACGGGGCGGCGGCCGGCGGCGCCGGCUCCUCCGAUGACCGCAAACCGCCACCAGGCGAGCGGCCCCCCAGCCAGAGCAGCAGCAGCCGCUCCACGCCCAGCCUCAGCCGCAAGGAGUCGCCGACAACCCCGGUCAGCAAGUCCCUGACGCCCACCUCCGCCACCAACGGCGCCCUGAAGCCGGGCGCGCCGGCCGUCGGCUACCCGUACAUGACCCCGGGUCA